rnacentral:tRNA from 1 species
GGACAUGUGCCUGAAAGUUAAGGUUUACUUUGAUAGAGUAACAAAUGGGGGUUCAAAUCCCCUCAUUUCCU